UGGGGCAGCCCAGAACACUGGGGAGACUAGCUCGAUGGGGCUGCACAGAGGUGGCACAGUUGUGCCAGAGGCAGCAGGGACACGAAGGCAGGCAAGGGAGGGUGCAGGGCCAGGGGAUUCGGAGGGGCUUCAGGCGGACCACGUGGCUAAUUUUUUCCAGGGCCAGACUUUGGCAGCAUGUAAGGUCUGAGGACAGGGGUACCAGAGGCCGAGGAUGAGAGGCCAGUGCCUGUUUCCAGGCAGCCAGGGCCUCAGAAACUCCGGUCGGAGCACUCACCCGUCGGUGGAGGCGGUUACCAGGGCUACCUUAUUCGCGAGCGGGUCCCGGCGGGUCAUCCCGGAGCUGGCCAUCCGCACCGAAUUCCAAGCCCGGGCACAGAAACCUAGCAACCCCGCCUUGUGCAUGGCUCAGACCAGCAAGUGCCACUUCGGAUAAACCCUUUGGACUCCUAACUCCAAUCAGGUGUCUGCUUUGUUGAGGACUCACAGACACAGUCUCCUUUCUUCAAAACCUUUACAAUGCAAGACCUCACUAACACACAGGGAUGGUCUCCCAGAGGGUCUGUGCUGUUCCUUCACUCAGAACAUCAAGAUGCACUGAAGUAAGAAUCCUCUACUCUACAGUUCCUGCUAGCUGAGCUAUUCCACGGGGGCUUCAGCAGGAAAUUGCAAGGUUGGCUUUGACAAGCUAAGGCCGGCUGGUGGAGCGCAUCGAGUUCUGGAGGUUCAUGUGUGUUUUCAUGAAGAUCUCUCUGCCAGUAGCAGAUAAAGAGGUGUUGCCCCACUCCUCCUGGGGUCUUCUAUUUUCCUGGGAGGAAUUUCUGGAUUAACUGAACACACACACACACACACACACACACACACACACCCCUUUGAAGCAUCAACAGUAAUUCUGAGUUCUUACGGACAAUGCAGAUUAAAUCCACAAUAAGAAAGACAACAAUGGCCAGGUGCAGUGGCUGACGCCUGUAAUCCCAGAACUUUGGGAGGCUGAGGCGGACGGAUCACCUGAGGUCAGGAGUUCGAGACCAGCCUGACCAACAUGGAGAAACCCCGUCUCUACUAAAAAUAGAAAAUUAGUCGGGCAUGGUGGCAGGCGCCUGUAAUCCCAACUACUCGGGAGGCUGAGGCAGGACAAUCGCUUAAACCCGAGAGGCAGAGGUUGCAUUGAGCCAAGAUCACGCCAUUGCACUCCAGCCUGGGCAACAAGAGCAAAACUCCAUCCAAAAAAAAAGAGAACUAUUGAUCCAGAGGUGGCCAGACUAGCCUCACUGGAGAUAAUAGGUGACAUUAUUAUGCAAAGUGGUUUCAGUUCCCUUGUCUUGUUUUUGGAAUAGUAUAAGAGGCCUACAAUACGAAUAAAUAAGGCCCAUCACAAGCCUCACCAAAGGACAAAACAAAUCCACUUCUGAAGAAGGCUCUUUGUUGGACUGGAUCAAAUCCUUGGACAGAACUGUACUCUUAAUCUCUGUAGUGAAAGUGGGGGGGAGUAGUUUAAGAAUUUAUUAACCUUCUACCUUGGGCAAUCCCUCAGAAGUAAAAGGUGUCAGGCCUCUGAGCCGAAGCUCAGCCAUUGUAACCCCUGUGACCUGCACAUAUAUGUCCAGAUGGCCUGCAGGAGCCAAGAAGUCUGGGGCAGCUGAAAAACCACACAAGAAGUAAAACAGCCAGUUCCUGCCUUAACUGAUUAACCAAUAUUACAACAUUCCACCAUUGUGACUUGUCCCUGCCCUGCCUUAACUGAUCAAUCGACCUUGUGACAUUCUUCUUCUGGACAAUGGGUCUUAUGAUCUCCCCACCAUGUACCUUGUGACCCCCUCCUCUGCUAACAAUAGAUAACCACCUUUUACUGUAAUUUUCCAUUACCUACCCAACUCCUAUAAAGCAACCCCUUCCCCAUCUGCCUUUGCUGACUCUCUUUUCGGACUCAGCCCACUUGCACUCAAGUGAAUAAACAGCCUUGUUGCUCACA